UGGAGCGAUGUUCUUUUGGGCUCCAGUGUCAGAUUUUGAUUUAAUAGCACAAGCGCCAUGACCCAGUGAGAUACCAGUGGCCAGUUGGCUUGCGCAAGGAAGAUCUGUUGGUGCCGAUCGCUCAUGCCAGAAGCACUGUUUUCUGUCACUAUGCAUAGCUUUGUUUGGCUCAGAUCUGCAUGCCGCUGCAAAGGGAGUUCAUUUCUUCCUGGUGCACAGGGAUGAUCUUUUAAAGGACACGUUUCUGCUCCGGGGUCCUUAAAGUGAUCCCCCCCUGCAAACCAUCCAGAGGAGGACAUGGAGCAGGACAGACCAACACAGAACCUGCGGGGGCAGCCAGGCAACCUCAGGCAGAGGGGAACACCCACAGAGCCCAUGUGGGGUGAGCAGCCCUGCAGCCUGCAAGCUUCUGCAAGGGGAUCCAUGUGUCCACCCAGCCUGCAAAGACUACAGGGACUACUGGCAAUGUGCCAUCAUGGCAUUCAGGUCCUUCUCCACUGCCUCCUGAGCAGCAGUCUCCGAUACCAGAAAGAUGAUCUUCCCAUACAUCUUGGAGGUCAGCGCUGCCAUGGGCCCCACCACCUGUGCCGAUGCCCCCACGUAGGUCUCCACAUGGGGUGAGGUGGGCACCACGAGGUAACAGAUGCUGUGCUUCCUGGUCAGGGUGGGGAAGGGAUCCUGGCUGCCAGAGAUGGAGGUGGUGGUCGGGGCAGAAGACAUGGUGGCACAUGGAGGGACUGCAGACACCUGUGUGUAUGCCCUGGGAGCCAAGUGUGAAAUGCCCCCAGAGCUGG